AACGAACGCUGGCGGCAGGCCUAACACAUGCAAGUCGAGCGAAGUCUUCGGACUUAGCGGCGGACGGGUUAGUAACGCGUGGGAAUGUGCCUCUGGGUGCGGAACAACCGUUGGAAACGACGGCUAAUACCGCAUGACGUCUACGGACCAAAGAUUUAUCGCCCAGAGAUCAGCCCGCGUUGGAUUAGCUAGUUGGGGGGGUAAUGGCCCACCAAGGCGACGAUCCAUAGCUGGUUUGAGAGGAUGAUCAGCAACACUGGGACUGAGACACGGCCCAGACUCCUACGGGAGGCAGCAGUGGGGAAUCUUGGACAAUGGGCGCAAGCCUGAUCCAGCCAUGCCGCGUGAGCGAUGAAGGCCUUAGGGUUGUAAAGCUCUUUCACCGGUGAAGAUAAUGACGGUAGCCGGAGAAGAAGCCCCGGCUAACUCCGUG
rnacentral:rRNA from 1 species